rnacentral:rRNA from 1 species
AGUGGAUGGGGAGCAACCUAGUUGUGCGUGUGUAAAGGUAGUGCCAAGAAAAGCGAUGAUCAUGUUGAAAAUCAAUUCCCGGUACCCGAAACCGACACAGGUGGGCAAGUAGAGAAUACUAAGGGGCGCGAGGUAACUCUCUCCAAGGAACUCGGCAAAAUGACCCCGUAACUUAGGGAGAAGGGGUGCCACCGAGAGGUGGUCGCAGUGAAGAGGCCCAGGCGACUGUUUAGCAAAAACAUAGGUCUCUGCAAACUCGAAAGAGGAGGUAUAGGGGCUGACGCCUGCCCAGUGCCGGAAGGUUAAAGAAGUUGGUCAGUUUUAGGAUGAAGCUAGCGACUGAAGCCCCGGUGAACGGCGGCCGUAACUAUAACGGUCCUAAGGUAGCGAAAUUCCUUGUCGGGUAAGUUCCGACCCGCACGAAAGGCGUAACGAUCUGGGCGCUGUCUCGGAGAGAGGCUCGGCGAAAUAGGAUUGUCUGUGAAGAUACGGACUACCUGCACCAGGACAGAAAGACCCUAUGAAGCUUUACUAUAGCUUGGAAUUGUGUUCGGGCUUCCUGUGCGCAGGAUAGGUGGGAGGCGUAGAAGGUAUUCUUGUGGGGAUACUGGAGCCAACGGUGAGAUACCACUCUCAGGAGGCUAGAAUUCUAACUUAAUUAAGGACAGUUUCAGGUGGGUAGUUUGACUGGGGCGGUCGCCUCCAAAAAGGUAACGGAGGCGUACAAAGGUUCCCUCAGACUGGUUGGAAAUCAGUCGAAGAGUGCAAAGGCAGAAGGGAGCUUGACUGCGAGAAGUACAGUUCGAGCAGGGUGGAAACACGGUCUUAGUGAUCCGACGGUGCUGUGUGGAAGGGCCGUCGCUCAACGGAUAAAAGUUACUCUAGGAUAACAGGCUGAUCUCCCCCAAGAGUUCACAUCGACGGGGAGGUUUGGCGCCUCGAUGUCGGCUCAUCGCAACCUGGGGCGGAAGUACGUCCCAAGGGUUGGGCUGUUCGCCCAUUAAAGCGGUACGUGAGCUGGGUUCAGAACGUCGUGAGACAGUUCGGUCCAUAUCCGAUGUAGGCGUGAGAAUAUUGAGAGGAGCCUUCCUUAGUACGAGAGGACCGGGAAGGACGCACCGCUGGUGUACCUGUUAUGAUGCCAAUUGUAAACGCAGGGUAGCCAAGUGCGGAGAGGAUAACCGCUGAAAGCAUCUAAGUGGGAAGCCCACCUCAAGAUGGGUAUUCUGGUGUAAGGUCACGGGAAGACGACCCGUAAAUAGGCACGAGGUGGAAGUGCAGAGAUGUAUGAAGCCGAAGUGUACUAAUAGACCGUCGGCUUGACC